AUUGAACGCUGGCGGCAGGCCUAACACAUGCAAGUCGAGCGGAUGAAGGGAGCUUGCUCCUGGAUUCAGCGGCGGACGGGUGAGUAAUGCCUAGGAAUCUGCCUGGUAGUGGGGGAUAACGUCCGGAAACGGGCGCUAAUACCGCAUACGUCCUGAGGGAGAAAGUGGGGGAUCUUCGGACCUCACGCUAUCAGAUGAGCCUAGGUCGGAUUAGCUAGUUGGUGGGGUAAAGGCCUACCAAGGCGACGAUUCGUAACUUGUCUGAGAGGAUGAUCAGUCACACUGGAACUGAGACACGGUCCAGACUCCUACGGGAGGCAGCAGUGGCGAAUAUUGGACGAUGGGCGAAAGCCUGAUCCAGCCAUGCCGCGUGUGUGAAGAAGGGCUUCGGAUUGGAAAGCACUUUAAGUUGGGAGGAAGGGCAGUAAGUUAAUACCUGGCUGUUUGGACGUUACCAACAGAAUAAGCACCGGCUAACUUCGU
rnacentral:rRNA from 1 species